CCUUCGGGAACUGUGAGACAGGUGCUGCAUGGCUGUCGUCAGCUCGUGUUGUGAAAUGUUGGGUUAAGUCCCGCAACGAGCGCAACCCUUAUCCUUUGUUGCCAGCGGUCCGGCCGGGAACUCAAAGGAGACUGCCAGUGAUAAACUGGAGGAAGGUGGGGAUGACGUCAAGUCAUCAUGGCCCUUACGACCAGGGCUACACACGUGCUACAAUGGCGCAUACAAAGAGAAGCGACCUCGCGAGAGCAAGCGGACCUCAUAAAGUGCGUCGUAGUCCGGAUUGGAGUCUGCAACUCGACUCCAUGAAGUCGGAAUCGCUAGUAAUCGUGGAUCAGAAUGCCACGGUGAAUACGUUCCCGGGCCUUGUACACACCGCCCGUCACACCAUGGGAGUGGGUUGCAAAAGAAGUAGGUAGCUUAACCUUCGGGAGGGCGCUUACCACUUUGUGAUUCAUGACUGGGGUGAAGUCGUAACAAGGUAACCGUAGGGGAACCUGC
rnacentral:rRNA from 1 species